AGAGUUUGAUCCUGGCUCAGAGCGAACGCUGGCGGCAUGCUUAACACAUGCAAGUCGCACGGUUGGGGGCAACUCCGGCAGUGGCGGACGGGUGAGUAAUGCGUAGGUAUCUAUCCUUGGGUGGGGGACAACCGCGGGAAACUGCGGCUAAUACCGCAUGACGACUGAGGUCCAAAGCUCGUGAGAGCGCCUGGGGAGGA
rnacentral:rRNA from 1 species